rnacentral:lncRNA from 1 species
GUAAUGUGACUGUGAACUAAAGCAUAAUAAUCUGCUUUUUUCAGUAGUGAGUGCAGAGUCAAGUUCCCUCAGCUGUUAGUUCUCUGAACAGUAACUCUUGAAAGACUUCUGCUUUUAAGAGAACAGACCUCCCUCGGGAUUCAGGGCCUCAAGAACAGAACCAUCCAUGUUAUUUCCUGGUGUCUCCAGGCUGAUAAAACCAAAUCAAAGGAGUAAUCUCAAGAGGAAUAUAGCUCUCUCUAAAUGUGAAAGAUAUUAAGCAAACAUUCUUCUGUCCACUGAGACUGUCAAUACUCUUCUCACUCUGAAGUUUACAUACC